AGGAGGAACAACCCCAGUGGCGGGGCCAGCUCUGGAGCCCUGGAUUCAGCUCCCGCAGGAACUCCGGAGCUCUCUGUCUGCAGGGCCUGGAUGCUCCGGGGCGGG
rfam:Canis lupus familiaris chromosome 16, whole genome shotgun sequence.